rnacentral:lncRNA from 1 species
UCUUUUGUGGAUUUAUUUCAGGGCCUCCAUGCCUGUGUUUACUAUGAAAGGCUCCUCUAUCCCAAGAGCAACUUCGUUGGCUUCCAAAGCAUCGUUACAGAAGAGGAGACAUACCACAAUUUCUACCUCUCAUUUGCCAAGCAGCCGCAUUGGUAGGCUCCAGGGUCGUUCUGUAAAGUCUUCACAGGUUGUGAAUGCACCAGGACGUCCAUCUGGCAUCCCUGCAUGGAAAUGGCGCUAGAGAUUUGUUCGUUCCUAGGAACCAGCAUUCUAUUGUAGGCUCACUCCAUGAAGUUUCUUUCAAGCUUCUACUUGAACAUUUUAACAUUCUGACAUCUUAUCUCUUCAGCUUCCUCUAUUUUUAUUUAAUUGUAUCUGAAUCUGUAUAUCCACAUCUACUUUUUUAAUAGCAAGUGUACAUUGAAUUAACAUGACAGCUGAGUUGCCAUAAAUUAUUAGGAAACAACAGCAAAC